UUCUGGCUCAGAACGAACGCUGGUAGCGUGGAUUAGGCAUGCAAGUCGAACGGGAUCACCGAUAUAGUAAUAUUGAGGUGUGAGAGUGGCGGAUUGGGGAGGAACACGUGAGCGACCUGCCUUGGAGUCGGGGAAAACAGUUGGAAACGACUGCUAAUACCGCAUAAUGUAUUUAGAGGACAUCCUCCGGAUAACCAAAGGAGCAAUCCGCUAGAAAGAUGGGCUCAUAUCUGAUUAGCUUGUUGGCGGGGUAACGGCCCCACCAAGGCGACGAUCAGUAGCCGGACUGAGAGGUUGAACGGCCACAUUGGGACUGAGAUACGGCCCAGACUCCUACGGGAGGCAGCAGUGGGGAAUAUUGGGCAAUGGGCGAAAAACGCCUGACCCAGCAACGCCGCGUGAAGGAAGAAGGUCUUCGGAUUGUAAACUUCUUUUAUGAGGGACGAAGGACGUGACGGUACCUCAUGAAUAAGCCACGGCUAACUACGUGCCAGCCGCCGC
rnacentral:rRNA from 1 species